CGGCGUGGUGACCCCCGACGAGCUGGCCAGCUGGUGCAGCCGCGACCCCGCCCUGCUGAGCUCCCUCGACACGCUCGACACCGUGUUGUGAUCCGCGCCCGCGCCCGAGCACUCCUCCGGCGCAUACAAUAGGUCGGACUCGGCGCAUGCGUCCUGCUCCACAGCGGCUGAUAACUGCGACUCGCCGCCGGCGGGUCCUCCUCCCCAUCUGCCAGUUACCUCUCCUCCUAUCUCUCCUCCUGUACAAGUUUUAAAGGAGACCGGGAAGCAGAGGCGAGCUUCGCAACCGCCGCCAGUCCCGGCGAGAGCAACGGCUACAGUUAAUGUAACAGAAGAAACAGCAUCGCGUAAGGCUAAACGGCGAGUCCGCCGCAUGUCCUCUCCACAACAGCCGCGGUGAAAACCUAACCUUAUUGUCUAGUAGAUAAGUACGAAAAUUCAAUAUCAAGGUACAACCUGCAAGGGGAAUUCUACUUAAUUGCGUGUAUUUAAGAAAGAGAUUUCAACUUCAGUGCUUUAUGUGAGCUACUUUAUACUACGAGUACAUAAUGCCUUUCAAUGACUUUAAGAAAUAAUUACUUUUAAGGAAAUCAGUGUGCUGAAUGUAUGUGACAUUGAAAACAAACAGAAGGGAAUGCAUUAACAAUUUGUUAAAGCAUAAGCUGCAAAUAUGCCACAAAAUGUUUUAUUACUCACCCGUAUAAUUAGGCGUUUUCUUCAAGCUGUUGAACUACAGUUGGGCUAUUUAUUCAUUAACAACAAUCGACAUCAUCCAUCACGCAGAGGUCGUUCACACGUCAUCGUGAGAACACCAAUUAUGUGGCAGAAGACACUUACGCGAUCUUUCAAUUUUGAUUUUUAACUAACUUGCCAAUAAGCUGCGUUAUGCGUCAUAUUUUAACUUUUUAUUAAAUUCGAAAUCGUUUAUUUUCAAAAAUUUCUAUUAAGUUAUUGUUUCGAAAACCUAGGUGCAUUUAUUUAUUUAUUUAAAAUCAUUUAAAAUAAAUGCAAAAUGCACAUCAUUAACAAAAUUUAAAGACAAUUCACGUGAACAAUUCCAAGGGAUAAAAUGUAAUAUUCGAUUUUCAUUAUUUUACAUCGUAUUCACAUACAUUCUGCAUAUUAUCAGAGACGAGCACGUUCAAUUACAUUGGUGUCGUCUAUAUAUACAAAUUUCGAACGAGUCUUGAAUAUUAUAAUAAACAAUUAUAAAUUAAAUUAAAUAAGUAAGUACGAAUCGAUUUAAAAAUCCAAAUGCUUUACUAAAUUACCACAAAUAUAAUAUUAUUAUGUGGUCUAGGUAUUACAACAGUGGUAAUGAACGUGGUACUGUAUAUGACGAUAAUCUUUGACAAGAUCCAUUGAAAAUUGUGGCAUAAUUAUAAUAGUAUUAUUAUUUAAUAGUAGUUGUUAUAAGGAAUUACUUAUUUCAAUGAAUGUACACGUAUCUGAGAAAACGAUAAGCAAUACUUCAGUAUUAAGAAUUUUUCAUGUACUUAUUUGAACAAUCUUUAGAGACGCUAGGACCUUGUCACCGUCAAUUGGAUCUUUCGAUUGCUUCGUAGCUUUAAUACUUCUAAAUACAUUUCAUGUGACAGGGAACCUAGAAUGAUAUGCGCAUGCAUGCUUAAGAUGCGAAGCAGAUGUUUCAUGUCGGACCUAGUCAUUGUACAGUAUAUCAAAAAAAGAAUUACAAAAAAGCUACAAAAAUUAUAUUUACGUUUGAUUCUGUGUUACAAGUGUUAAAUUCUGAAUUAUUUUUAAAUGAAUAUAAAUCAAAAUUGAUAAAUAAAUUAGCAUAAGAAAAAAUUUAUUAAAUUCCAAUUAAUUCCUUUAGCUUUUUUCCUGUAUAGUGUACACUGACUAGAUCUUAUAAUCUAGACAUUUCUCUCCUUUAGAGUAAACUUCAAUUGUUGCUUCCUUCAAAAUCUAUCGAUUAGUUUUAAGACACUUUGAUAAAUCUAAUGUAGAAUAAGUACAACUUAAAGAGGCCAAUUUAAAAGUGCUAUCUACACAUGUUGGAGAAUGCAAAUAUUUUAAAAAACAGCACAAUAUUUUUAAAAUAUAUAUAUAUAAAAAAAGAAACAUAUCUGCACCUGAACAUAAGAUUGAUAUUUCACAUGCGUUGAAACACGUAUAUUAAAUUAUUUAUCAUUAUAUAUUUCGUUCAAUACAAAAUAUAUCACCAUCAUCAUUAUAUCAGACUUUAACUAUCCACUGCUGAACAUAAGCCUUC